AGUGAACGCUGGCGGUAGGCCUAACACAUGCAAGUCGAACGGCAGCACCGUAAGCGCUUGCUCUUACGGGUGGCGAGUGGCGUACGGGUGAGGAAUACAUCGGAAUAUACUUCUUCGUGGGGGAUAACGUAGGGAAACUUACGCUAAUACCGCAUAAGACCUCCGGGUGAAAGCAGGGGAUCUUCGGACCUCGCGCGAUUGAAUGAGCCGAUGUCGGAUUAGCCAGUUGGCGGGGUAAAGGCCCACCAAGGCGACGACCCGUAGCUGGUCUGAGAGGAUGAUCGGCCAAACUGGGACUGAGGCACGGUCCAGACGCCUACGGGAGGCAGCAGUGGGGAAUAUUGGACAAUGGGCGCAAGCCUGAUCCAGCCAUACCGCGUGGGUGAAGAAGGCCUUCGGGUUGUAAAGCCCUUUUGUUGGGAAAGAAAAGCAGCAGUUUAAUACCCCGCUGUUCUGACGGUACCCAAAGAAUAAGCACCGGCUAACUUCGUG
rnacentral:rRNA from 1 species